rnacentral:rRNA from 1 species
CCUACGAGAGGCAGCAGUGAGGAAUAUUGGUCAAUGGACGGAAGUCUGAACCAGCCAUGCCGCGUGCAGGAAGACGGCUCUAUGAGUUGUAAACUGCUUUUGUAAAAGGGUAAACCUGAAUACGUGUAUUCAGCUGAACGUACUGUACGAAACAGGAUCGGCUAACUCCGUGCCAGCAGCCGCGGUAAUACGGAGGGUCCAAGCGUUAUCCGGAUUUAUUUGGGUUAAAGGGUGCGUAGGCUGAUUGAUAAGUGAGCGGUUAAAUGUCCGAGCUUAACUCGGGAACUGCCUCUAAUACGGUUGAUCUAGAGAGUAGAUGCGGUAGGCGGAAUGUAUGGUGUAGCGGUGAAAUGCUUAGAGAUCAUACAGAACACCGAUUGCGAAGGCAGCUUACCAAUCUAUAUCUGACGUUGAGGCACGAAAGCGUGGGGAGCAAACAGGAUUAGAUACCCCUGUAGUC